CAUGCAAGUCGAACGAUGAUGCCCAGCUUGCUGGGUGGAUUAGUGGCGAACGGGUGAGUAACACGUGAGUAACCUGCCCCUGACUCUGGGAUAAGCGUUGGAAACGACGUCUAAUACUGGAUAUGAUCACUGGCCGCAUGGUCUGGUGGUGGAAAGAUUUUUUGGUUGGGGAUGGACUCGCGGCCUAUCAGCUUGUUGGUGAGGUAAUGGCUCACCAAGGCGACGACGGGUAGCCGGCCUGAGAGGGUGACCGGCCACACUGGGACUGAGACACGGCCCAGACUCCUACGGGAGGCAGCAGUGGGGAAUAUUGCACAAUGGGCGAAAGCCUGAUGCAGCAACGCCGCGUGAGGGAUGACGGCCUUCGGGUUGUAAACCUCUUUUAGUAGGGAAGAAGCGAAAGUGACGGUACCUGCAGAAAAAGCACCGGCUAACUACGUGCCAGCAGCCGCGGUAAUACGUAGGGUGCAAGCGUUGUCCGGAAUUAUUGGGCGUAAAGAGCUCGUAGGCGGUUUGUCGCGUCUGCUGUGAAAUCCCGAGGCUCAACCUCGGGCUUGCAGUGGGUACGGGCAGACUAGAGUGCGGUAGGGGAGAUUGGAAUUCCUGGUGUAGCGGUGGAAUGCGCAGAUAUCAGGAGGAACACCGAUGGCGAAGGCAGAUCUCUGGGCCGUAACUGACGCUGAGGAGCGAAAGCAUGGGGAGCGAACAGGAUUAGAUACCCUGGUAGUCCAUGCCGUAAACGUUGGGCGCUAGAUGUAGGGACCUUUCCACGGUUUCUGUGUCGUAGCUAACGCAUUAAGCGCCCCGCCUGGGGAGUACGGCCGCAAGGCUAAAACUCAAAGGAAUUGACGGGGGCCCGCACAAGCGGCGGAGCAUGCGGAUUAAUUCGAUGCAACGCGAAGAACCUUACCAAGGCUUGACAUACACCGGAAACGGCCAGAGAUGGUCGCCCCCUUGUGGUCGGUGUACAGGUGGUGCAUGGUUGUCGUCAGCUCGUGUC
rnacentral:rRNA from 1 species